rnacentral:rRNA from 1 species
AAUAGAUACCCAGGUAGUCCACGCCGUAAACGAUGAGUGCUAAGUGUUAGAGGGUUUCCGCCCUUUAGUGCUGAAGUUAACGCAUUAAGCACUCCGCCUGGGGAGUACGGCCGCAAGGCUGAAACUCAAAGGAAUUGACGGGGGCCCGCACAAGCGGUGGAGCAUGUGGUUUAAUUCGAAGCAACGCGAAGAACCUUACCAGGUCUUGACAUCCUCUGACAACCCUAGAGAUAGGGCUUCUCCUUCGGGAGCAGAGUGACAGGUGGUGCAUGGUUGUCGUCAGCUCGUGUCGUGAGAUGUUGGGUUAAGUCCCGCAACGAGCGCAACCCUUGAUCUUAGUUGCCAUCAUUUAGUUGGGCACUCUAAGGUGACUGCCGGUGACAAACCGGAGGAAGGUGGGGAUGACGUCAAAUCAUCAUGCCCCUUAUGACCUGGGCUACACACGUGCUACAAUGGACGGUACAAAGAGCUGCAAGACCGUGAGGUGGAGCUAAUCUCAUAAAACCGUUCUCAGUUCGGA